UGUUACUAGACCGUUAGAUAAAGCUGAUAUAAGGCUAUCAUUUGAUUAACAUAAGAAAAUGGCAACGAGAAAUUUUAAGGCUUAACGACUAGAAAUUUUAAGGUUUAAAAGUGAAUUUAUUCUCAAAAUGGCCACUUGUUACUAGACCGUUAGAUAAAAGCUGAUAUAUGGCUAUCAUUAGAUUAGCAUAAGAAAAUGGCAACGUAUUUUGCUCUAAAGUAUAUAGCGCCUCUCUGCAGUGGUACGCUGAACUAUUAGUUGAAUGAAAAGUCGAUCCUUUUCUUUAUUAUUUUAAUUGAAUUUAUGAGACUCUUUUUAAUCGUGCGUUUAUUUGUUUGAUUUUAAUUCUGUUAAAAGUUUGGAUGCUUUUCACUUUAGAUGCUGAGAGUUAAUAGAGACUAAGUUUAAUUUUUUAAACAACCGAAGUAAAUUACUGUUUUAUGUGGCUAGUUGCAGUGAUUGCGGCGGAGGAUAUUGCCAUUCUUAAAAUUUAUACAUGACUCUUAAAGACUUACUGAUUUUUGAAGACAUAUGUGAUCAAGUAGUCGUAUUUUGCGUGUCCUAAGCCACAAUUCAAGUGAUUAGUUUAAUUAAGCCACCGUCACCAAAAGACAUUCCCAAGAUUCGGAAUCAUUUGCGAUCAUUUCAUCGUACUUCAGCGGAUACUUAGCCACUGUUGCAUUUUUGAGAACAAGCAGGCUGGUUGUCUCACAAAAAGGGGUUCGAGACUUUUUUAAAUGCGAUCCUCUCCACUAUCAUUCCAUUCUGUAAAGCUAGAUAUCAAGCAAACAAUAAAUAUGCAUUUGGAAUCACAAAUUCGAGACAGAAUAAAAUAAAAACUUUGGAAGGAUAAAGAAAACUCCCCUCGCAGUUUACGACGGCAUGCUGUAGCAUAGUUCCGUGUACUAACUGGACAUGACUGUCUGGAAUAACACCUAGAUUGAAUUCGAAUCUAUAAAAUCCUUCCUGACCCCUCUGUAUGACCCUAUGAAUAGACAUUACCUCCGUCAAUUUGCAGUUUUUCAAGAACAUUCUGAAACGGUGCUUUAUAGGCAGGACAGAGAACUUUUAAAGCAAAGACAUCUGGCAAUUCUGUUUUGUAAUAUUUUAUACUGUGUUUUUACUAGUUUUGUGUACAACUAUUUGUCUGUUAUUUGCAUUGCCAUUGGAAAUAAAAAUAAUAAUAAUAUUUCAAGUGCCAUUAGU
rnacentral:lncRNA from 1 species